ACGUGGGGGCAGAUUAAAGCUGGACCGGGGAGAUUUAGAUCAGACUUCAGGAGACCUUUCUUCACCAAGGUGGUGGUCAAACACUGGGGCAGCCUGCCCAGAGAAGUGGUCAAUGUGCCAAACCUGUCAAUGUUUAAGGGUGUGUGGACUCUGCCCUUAACUACCCACUUUAACAUUUGGUAGAAAGACUGUUACUUCAAGCAACAGAAGCAGAACUGGCAAAUUAUUAUCUAUCAUAAACACGGUAACCUUGGGAAGUUGUAGAGCCAUCAUGAAGACAACUUUCAGGAUGAAAAAGGACUUGGUAUUAAUGAACAGCAGAGCACCAUCAGUCUUCCUCAGAGAUGGACACAGAUAAAUCUGCUGUUCAGCGGUUCAAGGCAACACAAGGAAUGUCUACCUUUCUUCACAAUAAGAAUACUAUCCCUCUACUUUUUAGCAAACACAGAUUAACCUCUUCUUUCCUGCAGUGGUAAACUCAGUCUACCCUUCCUAAACUCCAAUUACUACCUUCUAAUUUUACUCUACUGUAUUUUGUUGUAAAAAAAUUCACUGAAUAUGAUAUUGGAUUAAUGUUUUACUUUCUUUUAAAGAGAUUAAAUUGAUAAAUGGGGACCUUAUUGUAUUUUGAUAAGAAGAAACAACAGUUAAAUUUUUUAAAAUAAUUCUCAUACAGCUUUUUUAAAAGAAAAAUCUUCUAUUUAACUUAUAUUUUCCAUGUAUCACUUCAAUCAGAUCCCUUUUCAACACCGCUUAAUAAGUACCACAUAAAAGUUCAUAUCAUAUUUUAAAGUCCAGGAGUACAACUGAAACUCUCAAACUGUUCUUUAUCUGUUUUAUCCUAUGAUCUUACAAUGUUGCUGGCUCAGAGUUGAAUUUGGAUUUCUCCACAGCUUUCAUCAAUUUUCCACUGGCAAAUAAACCUGGAACCCUGA